rnacentral:rRNA from 1 species
UACGUAGGUGGCAAGCGUUGUCCGGAUUUAUUGGGUUUAAAGGGCGCGUAGGUGGUGGCUUAAGCGUGCGGUGAAAGCUCGGGGCUCAACUCCGAGUCGGCCGUGCGAACUGGGCUCACUGGAGCAUAGUAGAGGCAGGUGGAAUUCCGGGUGUAGCGGUGGAAUGCGUAGAGAUCCGGAAGAACACCGGUGGCGAAGGCGGCCUGCUGGGCUAUGGCUGACACUGAGGCGCGACAGCGUGGGGAGCAAACAGG